rnacentral:lncRNA from 14 species
GCCACCUGCUGAGACAGAGAAUGACAAUAUUUCUUUAUCAGAUGAAAACCUGAAUUCCCAAGAACAGCAUCUGCUGCAUCAACAUGAGAAACAUUUGGAGGAAGCAAACUGUGAUGCUGAGCAAAACACUCCUGAUUCUCCAGAAUGUAAGGACUUCAUUAUUAAGAUUGAGCUGGAAAAAGCAGAAAAUGGAAGCCUAGGAUUUGCACUCGUGGGUGGAAAAAAUGGCAGGGCUAUCCUAAUAAAAGCUAUCAGCCCAGACAGCAUUGCAGAUGUAGAUGGAAGGCUUCAAGUUGGUGACAUCCUACUUAAGGUACUGCUUGUUCUUCAUUGUUUUGGCCUACAAUUUCUCUAGCUAUUCUAUAAUCAGCAUUUUGUUCAGUGUAAAGGCUACACAGGUUGGAGAUCUGGG